UACAGAGGGUGCGAGCGUUGUUCGGAAUUACUGGGCGUAAAGCGCGCGCAGGCGGCUUUUUAAGUCUGACGGUGAAAUGCCGGGGCUCAACCCCGUGCCCGCCGCGGAUACUGGGAGGCUGGAGACGGGUAGAGGCAAGCGGAAUUCCGGGUGUAGCGGUGGAAUGCGUAGAGAUCCGGAAGAACACCGGAGGCGAAGGCGGCUUGCUGGGCUCGGUCUGACGCUGAGGUGCGAAAGCGUGGGGAGCAAACAGG
rnacentral:rRNA from 1 species